AUACGGAAGGUCCGGGCGUUAUCCGGAUUCAUUGGGUUUAAAGGGUGCGCAGGCGGCCGUGCAAGUCAGCGGUGAAAGCCCGGGGCUCAACCCCGGAAGUGCCGUUGAUACUGCAUGGCUGGAAUGCGGUCGGGGCGGGCGGGACGUGGCGUGUAGCGGUGGAAUGCGUAGAUAUGCCACAGAACGCCGAUAGCGGAGGCAGCUCGCCAGGCCUGCAUUGACGCUCGGGCACGAAAGCGUGGGGAUCGAACAGGAUUAGAUACCCUGGUAGUCCACGCCGUAAACGAUGGGCGCUCGUCGUCGGCGGCAGACAGUCGGCGGCCAAGCGAAAGCGAUAAGCGCCCCACCUGGGGAGUACGGUCGCAAAGCUGAAACUCAAAUGAAUUGACGGGG
rnacentral:rRNA from 1 species